rnacentral:rRNA from 1 species
AUUGAACGCUGGCGGCAGGCCUAACACAUGCAAGUCGAACGAGUGGCGGACGGGUGAGUAAUGUCUGGGAAACUGCCUGAUGGAGGGGGAUAACUACUGGAAACGGUAGCUAAUACCCCAUACCAUCAGAUGAACCCAUAUGGGAUUAGCUUGUUGGUGUGGUAACGGCUCACCUAGGCGACGAUCACUAGCUGGUUUGAGAGGAUGACCAGCCACACUGUAACUGAGAAACGGCCCAGCCUCCUACGGGAGGUAGCAGUGGGGAAUAUGGCACAAUGGGCGCAAGCCGGAUGCAGCCAGGCGGCGUGUAUGAAGAAGGCCUUCGGGUUUUAAGGUACUUUCAGCGGGGAUGCGUUACCCGCAGAAGAAGCACCGGCUAACUCCGUGCCAGCAGCCGCGGUAAUUC